rnacentral:rRNA from 1 species
CAGUCGCCGCGGGAAUACGAAGGGUGCAAGCGUUAAUCGGAAUUACUGGGCGUAAAGCGUGCGUAGGCGGCCUAUUAAGUCAGGGGUGAAAGACGGUAGCUUAACUAUCGCAGUGCCUUUGAUACUGAUGGGCUUGAAUACACUUGAGGUAGGCGGAAUGUGACAAGUAGCGGUGAAAUGCAUAGAUAUGUCACAGAACACCAAUUGCGAAGGCAGCUUACUGAAGUGUCAUUGACGCUGAGGCACGAAAGCGUGGGGAUCAAACAGGAUUAGAUACCCGGGUAGUCCCUGUCUCUUAUAC